rnacentral:pre_miRNA from 1 species
GUAUGGCCUGUGACCGCUCGAACAGCUGUUCGGCCUCAAUGUAAUUGCCCUGGCAUGCAGUACGACAAACGCCAGGGCAAGUACGAAGAGGCUGAGCCACUCUACGAGCGGUCACAGGCCAUAAC